ACUCCUACGGGAGGCAGCAGUAGGGAAUAUUGGUCAAUGGGUGAGAGCCUGAACCAGCCAUGCCGCGUGCAGGAAGACGGCCUUCUGGGUUGUAAAACUGCUUUUACCAGGGAUAAAAAGAUCUUGCGAGAUUAAUUGAAGGUACCUGGAGAAUAAGCACCGGCUAACUACGUGCCAGCAGCCGCGGUAAUACGGAGGGUGCGAGCGUUAAUCGGAAUUACUGGGCGUAAAGCGCAUGCAGGUGGUUUGUUAAGUCAGAUGUGAAAGCCCGGGGCUUAACCUCGGAAUUGCAUUUGAAACUGGCAGGCUAGAGUCUUGUAGAGGGGGUAGAAUUUCAUGGUGNAGCGGUGAAAUGCGUAGAGAUCUGAAGGAAUACCAGUGGCGAAGGCGGCCCCUGGACCAAAGAACUGACGCUCAGAUGCGAAAGCGU
rnacentral:rRNA from 1 species